rnacentral:rRNA from 1 species
UAGGGAAUCUUCCACAAUGGACGCAAGUCUGAUGGAGCAACGCCGCGUGAGUGAAGAAGGUUUUCGGACCGUAAAGCUCUGUUGUUGGUGAAGAAGGAUAGAGGUAGUAACUGGCCUUUAUUUGACGGUAAUCAACCAGAAAGUCACGGCUAACUACGUGCCAGCAGCCGCGGUAAUACGUAGGUGGCAAGCGUUGUCCGGAUUUAUUGGGGCGUAAAGCGAGCGCAGGCGGAAGAAUAAGUCUGAUGUGAAAGCCCUCGGCUUAACCGAGGAAUUGCAUCGGAAACUGUUUUCUUGAGGUGCA